rnacentral:rRNA from 1 species
GCACCUUCGUGGUGUGACUGCGUACCUUUUGUAUAAUGGGUCAGCGACUUAUAUUCAGUGGCAAGGUUAACCGUAUAGGGGAGCCGUAGCGAAAGCGAGUCUUAACUGGGCGCUCAGUCUCUGGAUAUAGACCCGAAACCGGGUGAUCUAGCCAUGGGCAGGUUGAAGGUUGAGUAACAUCAACUGGAGGACCGAACCGACUAAUGUUGAAAAAUUAGCGGAUGACUUGUGGCUAGGGGUGAAAGGCCAAUCAAACUCGGAGAUAGCUGGUUCUCCCCGAAAGCUAUUUAGGUAGCGCCUCGGACGAAUACUACUGGGGGUAGAGCACUGUUAAGGCUAGGGGGUCAUCCCGACUUACCAACCCUUUGCAAACUCCGAAUACCAGUAAGUACUAUCCGGGAGACACACGGCGGGUGCUAACGUCCGUCGUGGAGAGGGAAACAACCCAGACCGCCAGCUAAGGUCCCAAAGUAUUGCUAAGUGGGAAACGAUGUGGGAAGGCUCAGACAGCUAGGAUGUUGGCUUAGAAGCAGCCAUCAUUUAAAGAAAGCGUAAUAGCUCACUAGUCGAGUCGGCCUGCGCGGAAGAUGUAACGGGGCUAAGCAAUACACCGAAGCUGCGGCAAUAUCUUUUAGAUAUUGGGUAGGGGAGCGUUCUGUAAGCCGUUGAAGGUGAAUCGUAAGGUUUGCUGGAGGUAUCAGAAGUGCGAAUGCUGACAUGAGUAACGACAAAGGGGGUGAAAAACCUCCUCGCCGGAAGACCAAGGGUUCCUGUCCAACGUUAAUCGGGGCAGGGUGAGUCGACCCCUAAGGUGAGGCCGAAAGGCGUAAUCGAUGGGAAACGGGUUAAUAUUCCCGUACUUCUGACUAUUGCGAUGGGGGGACGGAGAAGGCUAGGUGGGCCAGGCGACGGUUGUCCUGGUUCAAGUGCGUAGGCUUGAGAGUUAGGUAAAUCCGGCUCUCUCUAAGGCUGAGACACGACGUCGAGCUACUACGGUAGUGAAGUCAUUGAUGCCAUGCUUCCAGGAAAAGCCUCUAAGCUUCAGAUAGUCAGGAAUCGUACCCCAAACCGACACAGGUGGUCGGGUAGAGAAUACCAAGGCGCUUUUAUUAAAAACACAGCACUGUGCAAAAUCGCAAGAUGACGUAUACGGUGUGACGCCUGCCCGGUGCCGGAAGGUUAAUUGAUGGGGUUAGCGCAAGCGAAGCUCUUGAUCGAAGCCCCGGUAAACGGCGGCCGUAACUAUAACGGUCCUAAGGUAGCGAAAUUCCUUGUCGGGUAAGUUCCGACCUGCACGAAUGGCGUAAUGAUGGCCACGCUGUCUCCACCCGAGACUCAGUGAAAUUGAAAUCGCUGUGAAGAUGCAGUGUACCCGCGGCUAGACGGAAAGACCCCGUGAACCUUUACUACAGCUUGGCACUGAACAUUGAACCUACAUGUGUAGG